UAAGGUGCAAUUGCAUAAAUUGUCUUUGCAUAAUUAUACAGUCGUUGAAUAAAUAACUACAUAAUCAUACAUUCAUUGAAACAUUAUGACCUAAUUAGCAUGUUCGAAUUGGUAUUGUGUUUCGCAAAUUGUUUUGCACGCACGCGAAUAUCAAUUCCAUUUUGACAAUUUCCUUGUAGGGAAAUUUCAUUUUCCAAAGUAGCACUGUGGCAGUGAAUAAAAAUGGCUUGAUAUUAUUUUGUAAAAUGGACUUGGUAUUUGUGAAAUGGACUUGAUAUUUGUACAAUGGACUUGGUAUUUGUACAAUGGACUUGGUAUUUUUAAAAUGGACUUGAUAUUUGUAAAAUGGACUUGGUAUUUGAGAAAAUGGAUUUGGUAUUUGUAAAAUGGACUUGCUAUUUGUAAAAUGGACUUGGUAUUUGAGAAAAUGGACCCAAUAUUUGUAAAAUGGACUUGGUAUUUGAGAAAAUGGACUUGGUAUUUGUAAAAUGGACUUGGUAUUUGAGAAAAUGGACUUGGUAUUUCAUUGUUCGUAAUUUUGUCCGCUUUGGGCAAGCAUAUGCAAGUUGCAAGAAAAAUUGCACCAUGUAACAUGGCCUUAACUUCAAAAAGAUUUGUCGACAGGGGGUAUAUUCGAACAGCUUAUUAGUUUUCGCCACCUUACAUGUUUAUUGCCUUUUCAACCGAUCGUGAAAACACAUUACCUUACACAUUUCCUCGUUUUAAAUAUAUUUGGCCAUUUUUUUAAAUUUUUCGGGGGGGGGGGGUGCUACCCCCUACUAAUCCAUAUCUAAAUGAUUUGCAAAAUAACUGACAAAUUCUGAUUUGUUGCAUUUAACCCAUAUGCAUCCAGCUUUAUUAAUUUACUCUGUCCAAACCAGAUUAUUUUAUUCAAUAGAGGGAAGAGCCUUGCUCAUUAUUAAAUGGGUUAUAAACAAACAUAAUUAUUAACCCAUUUGACCCAAAAAAGUUUCUCCUUGACAAUAAUUAAAAUUGACAAAGUUAAAUCGUACCUCAAAAUUGGGUUGUUCCACACAAGAUCCAUAUUCCCCUCAUGGAGGAAAUUUCUGCCG